CUCAAGCCUCUCUCCGCUAAGUCUUUUAUUUCAAUAAUUUUGUUUUUUGGUUGCUUGAGGUAAAUGAUGCCUUCCUAGGGUUAAAAUAAAUCCAAAUGACUAUUGCUUAGGCCAAGGUUUUGUUCAUGUCCCCUUUUACGUAACCCGCCUUGGUCUAACUUUUUAAUUGGUUUAGCUGAUGUCUCUCCCCUGUGCCUCAUUCCUGCUUCCCUUCACUCCUGUCUCCUUUCUAACACCUCUACUCUCUUCUACUUCAGGUUACCUCUCUCAGCCACACCCCCUUUUUUCCUCUAUAUUCUAAAUAAUCUUCAUUUGCCUUCCUCCUCCAGUUUAUUCUCUGUUUACUUGCAGAGGAACAGAGGUGGGCAAGAUGGAGUCUUACCUGGGAUAGUCAAGAAUUGUGCAAGGCCAAGCCAAUAUGGAAGGAGGAGAAUCUAAAAACACAGAGAAACUUACUUGGAGAUGGCAGGGCUUUGGCUGAAGGACCCAAAGUGUAAACUGGAACAGCAUAUGUAGAAUCUACCUUGUUCUUUACCCUGGAGAAGUCCUGUUGUGGUUCCACACCCUUCUGUCAAGCAGGUCCCUGAGGGGAUGCCACCCUUCUGCUGUCACCUAUAAUCCACGAGUGAUCCUCCGAAUCAUCCUUUGUGGUGACCGCCACACACAUGCAGUUUACCCAGAGAGAGACACAGCAUCUCUACAGAAUGGAGCAGAGAGAGUGGGAAACGGCAGAGAGAGAGAGAAAAGACGAGGCAUAGCCACCAAGUGGUUGAGUCCCCAGGGGGCGAUGGGCAGCGGAAUGAAUGAGUGGUUAAAACUGACAAAGCAAUAAAAGCCUGGAUUCUUGUCCACCUUUUCCUCCAAUUGUUCCAGUGAGCAGUUGCCCCCAAGAUCACUCAAUGUCUGUCCAGAAAUUCUCUUCCAUUGAGCCCG
rnacentral:lncRNA from 1 species